GGCGGCAGGCUUAACACAUGCAAGUCGAGCGCCCCGCAAGGGGAGCGGCAGACGGGUGAGUAACGCGUGGGGAUGUACCCAAAGGUACGGAACAACUCCGGGAAACUGGAGCUAAUACCGUAUGUGCCCGAGAGGGGAAAGAUUUAUCGCCUUUGGAUCAACCCGCGUCAGAUUAGCUAGUUGGUAGGGUAAUGGCCUACCAAGGCGACGAUCUGUAGCUGGUCUGAGAGGAUGAUCAGCCACACUGGGACUGAGACACGGCCCAGACUCCUACGGGAGGCAGCAGUGGGGAAUAUUGGACAAUGGGCGCAAGCCUGAUCCAGCCAUGCCGCGUGAGUGAUGACGGCCUUAGGGUUGUAAAGCUCUUUCGACGGGGACGAUAAUGACGGUACCCGUAGAAGAAGCCCCGGCUAACUUCGUGCCAGCAGCCGCGGUAAUACGAAGGGGGCUAGCGUUGUUCGGAAUCACUGGGCGUAAAGCGCACGUAGGCGGAUUGUUAAGUCGGGGGUGAAAUCCUGAGGCUCAACCGCAGAACUGCCUCCGAUACUGGCAAUCUCGA
rnacentral:rRNA from 1 species